UACAGGGGGUGCAAACGUUGCUCGGAAUCAUUGGGCGUAAAGCGCACGUAGGCGGUUUGUUAUGUCGGAUGUGAAAGCCCUUGGCUCAACUGAGGAAGUGCAUCCGAAACUGGCAAGCUAGAGUACUAAAGAGGGUCGCGGAAUUCCCGGUGUAGAGGUGAAAUUCGUAGAUAUCGGGAGGAACACCGGUGGCGAAGGCGGCGACCUGGGUAGAUACUGACGCUGAGGAGCGAAAGCCAGGGGAGCAAACGGG
rnacentral:rRNA from 1 species